UUGUCUCAAAGAUUAAGCCAUGCAUGUCUAAGUAUAAACUUUAAUACAGUGAAACUGCGAAUGGCUCAUUAAAUCAGUUAUCGUUUAUUUGAUAGUACCUUAUUACUUGGAUAUCCGUGGUAAUUCUAGAGCUAAUACAUGCUAAAAGUCCCGACCCCUGGAAGGGACGUAUUUAUUAGAUAAAAAACCAAUGCCUUCGGGCUCCUGGUGAUUCAUGAUAACUCUACGAAUCGCAUGGCCUUGCGCCGGCGAUGGUUCAUUCAAAUUUCUGCCCUAUCAACUUUCGAUGGUAGGAUAGUGGCCUACCAUGGUUUCAACGGGUAACGGGGAAUUAGGGUUCUAUUCCGGAGAGGGA
rnacentral:rRNA from 1 species